rfam:Triticum aestivum genome assembly, contig: Triticum_aestivum_CS42_TGACv1_scaffold_415344_5BL
GAGAGCCGUGUGAUGGCUGACUAUCUAGCACGGUUCAGAGAGCACGUGUAUGUAGUCUGCGCUGGUGAAUGGAAGCCCCCGCCGCAAAAAAGAAGCGGCUCUUCCCACGGCUCUGUCACCAUUGACUCUAU